rnacentral:rRNA from 1 species
UGGGGAAUAUUGCACAAUGGGCGCAAGCCUGAUGCAGCCAUGCCGCGUGUGUGAAGAAGGCCUUCGGGCUGUAAAGCACUUUCAGCGAGGAGGAAGGUGGUGAACUUAAUACGUUCAUCAAUUGACGUUACUCGCAGAAGAAGCACCGGCUAACUCCGUGCCAGCAGCCGCGGUAAUACGGAGGGUGCAAGCGUUAAUCGGAAUUACUGGGCGUAAAGCGCACGCAGGCGGUUUGUUAAGUCAGNUGUGAAAUCCCCGGGCUCAACCUGGGAACUGCAUUUGAAACUGGCAAGCUAGAGUCUCGUAGAGGGGGGUAGAAUUCCAGGUGUAGCGGUGAAAUGCGUAGAGAUCUGGAGGAAUACCGGUGGCGAAGGCGGCCCCCCUGGACGAAGACUGACGCUCAGGUGCGAAAGCGU